AGUGAACGCUGGCGGUAGGCCUAACACAUGCAAGUCGAACGGCCGCACAGUAAGAGCUUGCUCUUACGGGUGGCGAGUGGCGGACGGGUGAGGAAUACAUCGGCAUCUACUUUUUCGUGGGGGAUUACGUAGGGCAACUUACGCUAAUACCGCAUACGACCUACGGGUUAAAGCAGGGGAUCUUCGGACCUUGCGCGAUUGAAUGAGCCGGUGUCGGAUUAGCUAGUUGGCGGGGUAAAGGCCCACCAAGGCGACGAUACGUAGCUGGUCUGAGAGGAUGAUCGGCCACACUGGAACUGAGACACGGUCCAGACUCCUACGGGAGGCAGCAGUGGGGAAUAUUGGACAAUGGGCGCAAGCCUGAUCCAGCCAUACCGCGUGGGUGAAGAAGGUCUUCGGGUUGUAAAGCCCUGUUGUUGGGAAAGAAAAGCAGCAGGUUAAUACCCCGCUGUUCUGACGGUACCCAAAGAAUAAGCACCGGCUAACUUCGUG
rnacentral:rRNA from 1 species